GGCUCAGGAUGAACGCUGGCGGCGUGCUUAACACAUGCAAGUCGAACGAAGCAUUAGGACGGAUCCCUCGGGGAGAAGGAAUAAAUGACUGAGUGGCGGACGGGUGAGUAACGCGUGGAUAACCUGCCUUGUACAGGGGGAUAACAGUUAGAAAUGACUGCUAAUACCGCAUAAGCGCACAGCACCGCAUGGUGCCGUGUGAAAAGCUGAGACGGUACAAGAUGGAUCCGCGUCUGAUUAGCUUGUUGGUGAGGUAACGGCCCACCAAGGCGACGAUCAGUAGCCGACUUGAGAGAGUGAUCGGCCACAUUGGGACUGAGACACGGCCCAAACUCCUACGGGAGGCAGCAGUGGGGAAUAUUGCACAAUGGGGGAAACCCUGAUGCAGCGAACCGCCGCGUGAGUGAUGAAGUAUUUCGGUAUGUAAAACUCUAUCAGCAGGGAAGAUGAUGACGGUACCUGAGUAAGAAGCUCCGGCUAAAUACGUGCCAGCCGCUGC
rnacentral:rRNA from 1 species